rnacentral:rRNA from 1 species
AYACUUGGUGUGAUUAGCAGAAUCCCGUGAACCAUCGAGUUUUUGGAMCGCAAGUUGCGCCCAAAGCCAUUAGGCCGAGGGMACGUCUGCCUGGGCGUCACAC